UACGUAGGGUGCAAGCGUUGUCCGGAAUUAUUGGGCGUAAAGAGCUCGUAGGCGGUCUGUCGCGUCGGCUGUGAAAUCCCGGAGCUCAACUCCGGGUCUGCAGUCGAUACGGGCAGACUGGAGUUCGGCAGGGGAGACUGGAAUUCCUGGUGUAGCGGUGAAAUGCGCAGAUAUCAGGAGGAACACCGGUGGCGAAGGCGGGUCUCUGGGCAGUAACUGACGCUGAGGAGCGAAAGCGUGGGGAGCGAACAGG
rnacentral:rRNA from 1 species